UAGGACAACAGCUCCUGAAAUAAUUCACAACGUAAGCGAAUUUCCCCAAUGUCGACGAGACACCAGAAUGACCAAACCCCCAAAAGAAAGCUCGAAACCAAAAUGGAGGAAGAAGAAGCAUCUGGCAAUGAUUCUCGGCAGACGACAGUGUGAAGGUGAAGUUCAGAGAGAGAAGACUUGUCACUCUUGGCUCUCCGCAUCUCGUUAUCUCCAGAAUCAUGUCUGCCGGGAAAAUUAUCGUCUACGGAGGUCGUGGAGCGCUCGGUUCCGCGGUCGUCAAGCACUUUAAAGCUAACGACUGGUGGGUGGGCACCAUUGACCUGGCUGCCAAUGAUGAGGCUGAUGCCAAUGUCAUUGUCUCAAAGGAUGCAAACUGGUCCACUCAAGCUGAAGCAGUCAUGUCUGGUCUGGAAGGAGCCCUAGGGACAGAUAAGGUGGAUGCCAUUAUUAAUGUGGCUGGUGGCUGGGCAGGGGGCAAUGCUGCAAGCAAAGACUUCCUGAAAAGCUGUGAAAUGAUGUGGUCUCAGAGUGUUUGGUCGUCUACCAUCACUGCUCAGGCUGCUUCCCGUUUCCUUAAGGAAGGAGGAUUUGUUGCGCUUCCAGGAGCCAAGCCUGCACUGGAAGGCACUGCAGGAAUGAUUGGGUAUGGUCUUGCCAAGGCAGCUGUGCAUCAGCUGACAAAGAGUCUUGGAGAUGAAAAGUCUGGCUUACCAACGGGUGCAACAGCUGUUGCAAUCCUUCCCAUCACUCUGGAUACCCCCAUGAAUAGGAAAUGGAUGUCAGGAGCAGAUUUCUCCACUUGGACGUCUCUAGAAUUUGUUGCAGAGCUCUUCAUGAAGUGGACAAAGGGACAGGAUAGACCUAAGUCUGGCAGCCUUGUACAGCUCAUUACCAAGGAUAACAAGACCGAAUUGGUAAUGGUGUAGAACUGAAGUUGACUGUGCUUCCUUUUUUAUUUUAAUUUCUUUAAUUGUUAGUCAACUUUUCUUGAUUUGGUUUGGUUAUGAACAUGGAAUCUUUUGUGGAUAUUGUGGCUGUCUUAUUUUGAUACUUGGAUAAUACUCACUGUUGUACUUGCUAUAUUUUUAACCAUCAUUUUCAGAAGUGAAUUAAGAUUUUAUCAACGUUGAAUACAAAUGCUAUAUCACAAUCCAAUAACUUAGGAGACUAAAAGGUACAUAAAGAAAAUUUUGGCUGGAAAUUGCACAAAACCUGUAAGGAUCUUUUAUCUAUUUAGGUUACACAUCUGAGUGAGGCUGAGUGAGUUAUGAAACUGCACUGGUAUUUCCUAGUUCAGUUCUCGAUUCCUGGCUAUCAAAGUGUCCUCAGAGACAAAGAACUUCAAUGUAUGCAGACUGAAAUUGUCAUCAAUGUGCUUGGGAGAAUAUACAUGUACAGGAUGAGAACUUAAGUGUGUUAGUUUAGUAGUAUUCUAACCACACUUACCUAGUUCUAUCUGUUACAUUGCGUAUAGACUUGAUCUUUGUGAUAUAUGUCUGAUGUAGAGAUUAAUACAAAUAACCUUUUAAAAAAAAUCCAUCUGUAUUCCAAAAUCAAGAAUAUUUAUGCAUUAUAAUUGUGAUGCUAUCUGCUGAAGUGAGGUAGACAAAAUAUAAAAGAGAUAAAAGAAAAACAGAGAUUGAGGUUUGAAAAUUGCUCAUCAAAACCCUAAUAGAAGUGUAGAAACAUGGAAACAAAAUGAGAUAAUAAGUUGAGUUUAAUUGGAGGGUCCCCCUUCCCAGUUUCUUUGUCUCCCCACCACCUGUGAAGAUGUUUCUACCAUUUUUCUUAGGCAAUUGUAUGAAAAGUUUUCAUUAAUGAUAACACCUCUUAAUCAGAAAUCUUACCUGAGAAUGUCUGUGGCCAAUAUAAGGUAAGUGAUAUCUCAAAUGUCAAUUACUUCACUUCAACAGUGAGUGUCACAGUUGUCAAGACAAUGAAAAAAAUUAGUGUAUAUGUUUUGUGCUUCCUGUUAUACACUCUUAUUUUUUAUUGUUUAACCUGUUUAAAUACCAUUUCAUAAAUCAUUUUAAAAGGAAAAGAUGUUGGAAUAUAAACUAAAUUGUUCUUCCAUUUUUAAAUUUGAACUGAUUUAUUCCUAAGACAUUCCAGCUAUGGCAAUACUUGUGCUUCCUCUGUUUGAAGUCUGCAUUAAACUGAAGAAAUUAA
rnacentral:misc_RNA from 1 species